UCAACCAGGCGAUCGCGCCAUCGGGUUUUCCCGGUGCCGAGGAACGUCCGGGCUCCACAGAGCAGCGUGGUGGGUAACGCCCACCCGGGGUAACCCGCGAGCAAGUGCAACAGAAAGUAGAUCCACCGGCACAGUCGGCCAGGAGUGAAACGGUGGUGUAAGAGACCACCAGCACCGCGUGCGAGCGCGGUGGCUAGGUAAACCUCACGCGGAGCAAAACCAAAUAGGAGAGCUAUGGAGUCGCUCGCUCCGUUCUCGGGUUGGUUGCUAGAGCCGUACGGCAACGUGCGGCCGAGAUAGAUGAUCGUCCACGACAGAACCCGGCGUAUCGGUUGGCC
rnacentral:RNase_P_RNA from 1 species